rnacentral:rRNA from 1 species
GACGAACGCUGGCGGCGUGCUUAACACAUGCAAGUCGAACGGUAAGGCCCUUCGGGGUACACGAGUGGCGAACGGGUGAGUAACACGUGGGUGAUCUGCCCUGCACUUCGGGAUAAGCCUGGGAAACUGGGUCUAAUACCGGAUAGGACUCCUGGCUUCAUGGUUGGGGGUGGAAAGCUUUUGCGGUGUGGGAUGGGCCCGCAGCCUAUCAGCUUGUUGGUGGGGUGAUGGCCUACCAAGGCGACGACGGGUAGCCGGCCUGAGAGGGUGAUCGGCCACACUGGGACUGAGAUACGGCCCAGACUCCUACGGGAGGCAGCAGUGGGGAAUAUUGCACAAUGGGCGCAAGCCUGAUGCAGCGACGCCGCGUGAGGGAUGACGGCCUUCGGGUUGUAAACCUCUUUCAGCACCGACGAAGCGCAAGUGACGGUAGGUGCAGAAGAAGGACCGGCCAACUACGUGCCAGCCGCCGCGGUAA